rnacentral:rRNA from 1 species
AUGUAUAAGAACCAGCUUCAGGAGCUGGCGCAGCGGAGCUGCUUCAACCUGCCGGCGUACACGUGCCUGCGGGAGGGGCCGGACCACGCGCCGCGGUUCAAAGCUGCGGUCAUCUUCAACGGCGAGCAAUUCGAGAGCCCCGGGUUCUUCACGACGCUCCGCCAGGCCGAGCAUGCUGCCGCCGAGGUCGCCCUCGCCGCGCUCGCCCGGCGCGGCCCCUCUUACUCCCUAGCCGCCCGCAUCCUGGAUGAAACAGGGGUUUACAAAAACCUUCUACAGGAAGUAGCCCAGAGAGUUGGGGCACCGUUGCCUUCAUAUACAACAGAGCGGUCUGGCCUUGGCCAUCUGCCAGUUUUCACAUGCACAGUAGAAUUAGCGGGGAUCACCUUUACAGGUGAUCAUGCUAAGAAUAAGAAGCAAGCUGAAAAAAAUGCUGCUUCUGCAGCCUGGGCUUCGUUGAAACAAUUGGCACGUGAGGAGGCGAAUACGACCAAUGAACCGGAGAACAAUGAUGAGCAGGAGCAGAUCAGGAUUGCCCGAGCCCUUCUCAACUAUCGCACGAAGGAAAAGAUAGCGAUGGCCAAUAAUCCCAAUGCUUCACCAUUUCCCAAGAAAUUUCCCAUGCAACCAGAGAGGAAGCCUUGUUUUGGUCAAUCCUCUCAGUCCAGUUACUCGAAGAUUCUUCCUCUAUUCCGGCCAAAGUCUAGUUCAAGAUCCAGACCAGAGUCACCAGCCGCGGCUGAUGGAGCAUCACAGUCACCGUUCUGGCCCAUUGAAAGCUCUAAUUCAAGGUCGAGGUUCCCGGCCGCAGAAGCAGCCCCUUAUGUCCCAGUUGGGCACUACCGUAUGCCUUGUCAUAGUAUGGCUCCUCCGGUCACAGUCAGGAGCUCUAUCCCUGUGUUCUCUGCUCCACCUCUCCCACCUCCAAGUGGACGCACACAGCAGCUUCCUCCUCUCCUGAGCAACCCACCGUCAGUCCGGAUGGCAUCCCCAGUUCACAUCAGGCCAGCUUCUCCACACUUUGCUCCCUCGGGUCCUGCGCAGCGUCCAAGACCUGUGAUGUCUGUUCAGAUGAAGGAUGUGCAGCACAAGCCAAUAAGGGAAUCGAUGUCGUCUGCGAUCCCUAUUCAGGUGAAGGAUGCGCAGCAGAGGCCAACCAAGGAAUCGCGAUCAUCUGCGAUGCCUGUUCAGGCAAAGGAUGCGCAACACCAGCUGUUUAAGGGAUCGAUGUCGUCGUCUGUGAUGCCCAUUCAGAUGAAGGAUGUGCAGCCCCAGCCAGCAAGGGAACCAUUGUCAGAAGGUAAGGACGCACCACCGGCGGCGACUGAGCCUCCGGUUAAGAUCGAGGCUCCAGCUCAAGUCAAGGAAGCUUCAGAGGUGGUCACCAGUGAAGUAGUCCCAUGCCCUGCUGUUGAUGCUGCUAGUUCUGCUUCUACUUCUACCAGUGAAUGCAGCACUGCUGCCCCAGCAAGCCAGUCUGGGGCUGAUGAUGAUGCAGCCAAGGGUGAAGAGGCGCGUGAGGACGUCCUGGAAACUGAAGCAGCACUGGAGGAGGGCAUCAUCAAGCUUUUAGAGAUAAAAUGA